rnacentral:rRNA from 1 species
AGAGUUUGAUCAUGGCUCAGGAUGAACGCUAGCGGGAGGCCUAACACAUGCAAGCCGAGCGGUAUUGUUCUUCGGAAAUGAGAGAGCGGCGUACGGGUGCGGAACACGUGUGCAACCUGCCUUUACCUGGGGGAUAGCCUUUCGAAAGGAAGAUUAAUACUCCAUAAUAUAUUGAACGGCAUCGUUUAAUAUUGAAAGCUCCGGCGGAUAGAGAUGGGCACGCGCAAGAUUAGCUAGUUGGUGAGGUAACGGCUCACCAAGGCAAUGAUCUUUAGGGGCCUGAGAGGGUGAUCCCCCACACUGGUACUGAGACACGGACCAGACUCCUACGGGAGGCAGCAGUGAGGAAUAUUGGUCAAUGGGUGCAAGCCUGAACCAGCCAUCCCGCGUGAAGGACGACUGCCCUAUGGGUUGUAAACUUCUUUUGUAUAGGGAUAAACCUUUCCACGUGUGGAAAGCUGAAGGUACUAUACGAAUAAGCACCGGCUAACUCCGUG